UAGGGAAUCUUCCACAAUGGGCGAAAGCCUGAUGGAGCAACGCCGCGUGUGUGAUGAAGGGUUUCGGCUCGUAAACACUGUUGUAAGAGAAGAAUGACAUUGAGAGUAACUGUUCAAUGUGUGACGGUAUCUUACCAGAAAGGAACGGCUAAAUACGUGCCCG
rnacentral:rRNA from 1 species